CUUGCUUCAGAAACAAUACCAAAGUAGAAUGUCAUUCAAGAGACAGAGUUCAGUGUCUGGGUAAUCAAUCAAAAUGCCUCUACUAUUCAGGAACUUUGGAAAGAUCUGGUAAGUUUUGGUAAAUUUAAAAAUAUUGUGAACCAAAUGCAAAAUAAUUUUAUGAGCCAUGGCUGUAAUUUUACAUUAAAUGUAUCCUUAGUACAGAAACAACAAAUUCAUCACUUUUCUAAUUUUCCAUCUGAGAUGAUGCUUUUAGCCAUUGUGUUUUAGAAAGUCUGCUAUAUAAUUCUGACCUUGCCUCCUAGACAUUGGUGAGUGGAAAUUUAGCCCUAGUGAGAACAAAUUCAUAUCUGGUGAGUGUGUCACAAAGUCUCCAGGCUCGCAGUGGCGUAGAACUCCUAAGGCUUUGCUAGUAGCGCAGGGUUUUCAUUGUAAUCUUGUUUAGAUCUUUUUGACUCUGUUACAAAUGACCUCUAUGUAUUAUAUCCUAUACAAUAAGUGCUAUGGAUGAUUUGUGUAUUUAUUCACUUUUUCAUUUUUCAAAGUACCCCUAGACUCUUUAGCCAAUUCAACCUGUUUACCAUUCUUUUAGAAAAUUAUUUAGCACCUUGAAGAGAAUGAGAAUUAAUCUAUACUUUUUCUUUAUAGAUCUUUCUGUUGUUGAUUACAUUGUUAAGGGCUGCGUUUCCGAACGAGCCUGUAAAUACCAGCUGGAAGUUUUACCAGGAACCAUCCAAAAAGAAAAAAGAGUCUACAGAUGCGAAGAUCCCAC